rnacentral:rRNA from 1 species
UACGUAGGUGGCAAGCGUUGUCCGGAUUUACUGGGCGUAAAGAGCGCGCAGGCGGUCGUUCAAGUCGCGUGUGAAAGCCCCCGGCUCAACUGGGGAGGGUCACGCGAUACUGAUCGACUCGAAGGCAGGAGAGGGAAGUGGAAUUCCCGGUGUAGUGGUGAAAUGCGUAGAUAUCGGGAGGAACACCAGUGGCGAAGGCGACUACCUGGCCUGUUCUUGACGCUGAGGCGCGAAAGCUAAGGGAGCAAACGGG